UGCAGUCGAGCGGUAGCACAGAGAGCUUGCUCUCGGGUGACGAGUGGCGGACGGGUGAUUAAUGUCUGGCAAACUGCCCGAUGGAGGGGGAUAACUACUGGAAACGGUAGCUAAUACCGCAUAACGUCGCAAGACCAAAGAGGGGGACCUUCGGGCCUCUUGCCAUCGGAUGUGCCCAGAUGGGAUUAGCUUGUAGGUGAGGGAACGGCUCACCUAGGCGACGAUCCCUAGCUGGUCUGAAAGGAUGACCAGCCACACUGGAACUGACACACGGUCCAGACUCCUACGGGAGGCAGCAGUGGGGAAUAUUGCACAAUGGGCGCAAGCCUGAUGCAGCCAUGCCGCGUGUAUGAAGAAGGCCUUCGGGUUGUAAAGUACUUUCAGCGGGGAGGAAGGGAGUGAGGUUAAUAACCUUAUUCAUUGACGUUACCCGCAGAAGAAGCACCGGCUAACUCCGUGCCAGCAGCCGCGGUAAUACGGAGGGUGCAAGCGUUAAUCGGAAUUACUGGGCGUAAAGCGCACGCAGGCGGUCUGUCAAGUCGGAUGUGAAAUCCCCGGGCUCAACCUGGGAACUGCAUUCGAAACUGACAUGCUGGAGUCUUGUAGAGGGGGGUAUAAUUCCAGGUGUAGCGAUGAAAAUGCGUAGAGAUCUGGAGGAAUACCG
rnacentral:rRNA from 1 species